ncrna:unclassified sequences drum RNA
GGGUGUUGAUGCUGAGAAGCGUGUCAGGAAGCGGGACUCAGCGUAGCCUUGUGUAGGGUUUAGCUAUUUAUACCUCAACCUGACUUAUGCAUGUCAUGUGCAGACAUAAAAAAUAGCGAAUU